GACGAACGCUGGCGGCGUGCUUAACACAUGCAAGUCGAACGGAAAGGCCCUGCUUUUGUGGGGUGCUCGAGUGGCGAACGGGUGAGUAAACGGUAGUAACCUGCCCCUGUCUUUUGGAUAACCUCCGGUAACUGGGGGUAAUACCCGGUUGGGUCUCCCUCUGCCUUGUGGGGGGUGGGAAGUUUCGGCGGUUUGGGGUGGACUUGCGGGGUGUCUGGUUGUUGGUGGGUGAGUGGCUUACCAAGGCUUUGACGGGUAGCCGGUCUGAGAGGGUGACCGGCCACAUUGGGACUGAGAGACGGCCCGGACUCCUACGGGAGGCAGCAGUGGGGAAUAUUGCACAAUGGGCGGAAGCCUGAUGCAGCAACGCCGCGGGCGGGAUGACGGCCUUCGGGGUGGAAACCGCUUUCGCCUGUGACGAAGCGUGAGUGAGGGUAAUGGGUAAGAAGCACCGGCUAACUACGUG
rnacentral:rRNA from 1 species